GACGAACGCUGGCGGCGUGCCUAAUACAUGCAAGUCGAGCGCUGAAGGGUGGUACUUGUCCCAAGUGUAGGAGCAGCGAACGGGUGAGUAACGCGUGGGGAAUCUGCCUUGGAGCGGGGGACAACAUGUGGAAACGAAUGCUAAUACCGCAUAAAGACUUUAAACACAAGUUUUAAGGUUUAAAGAUGCAAUUGCAUCACUCAAAGAUGAUCCCGCGUUGUAUUAGCUAGGUGGUGAGGUAAAGGCUCACCAAGGCGAUGAUACAUAGCCGACCUGGAAGGGUGGUCGGGCCAAUCGGGAACGGGACCAGGCCCCAACCCCCUAGGGAGGGAGCAGUAGGGAAACUUUGGCCAUGGACGAAAGUCUGAACGAGGAAAGCCGCGGGAGUGAAGAAGGGUGUCCGAUCGUAAAACUCUGUUGGUAGGGAAGAACGCUGGUGAGAGUAGAACGCGCAUCUAGUGACGGUACCUAACCAGAAAGGACCGGCUAACUACGUG
rnacentral:rRNA from 1 species